CCACUGUCUGCUUUAUAGAUGAGGUAAUAGAGGCUUGGGGAGGCUAAGUAAAUCGCCUUAAGUCCUAGGGCUGGGAGGUGGUGAGGUGGGAUGAACAUCCAGGUCAGUGCGAGUCUUGAGGUUGUCCCUCACCCUGAGGCCUGGGACAGGAUAAGGCCCCAAAGCAACUGCCCCUGAGAUCCUGAAUCGGGAGGGCAAGUUUACCAGGGCUGGCCCGUCUCCCAGAGCAGGGAUCCCAAGGAGACUCCAGGGGGUGGGGGAAACACAGGGCCACUCCAGAGAAGCCCCACGUUGACAGGCAGGCUCAGCUUUGGCCCAGGCAGAGCCACUAGUCUGAGGGGGGACGUCCUGAGCAUGCUCCUGGUGCGGCAGAAGACGUGCAGCCCUGCCUGGAGGAGCCCGCAGUCUGACGAGGGGGGGCGCUCAGCGCUGGCCCUGGCUGCGCACAGUGGGGAGCUCAGCUGCCAACAGCAACCCCAGGAAAGAAGAAGCAGAGGUUGCUGACCUGGACCGCAGUAUCCUAGCCAUAUGUUGAGGGCACCAGGGAGGAGAGAAAUGUCAGGCGCAGAGAGGCCCCCAGAGUGGGCCCUGGAAAGGUUACAAGUGGAUGCACUCAGCUUUGCUCUGUGUGGUCAUUUCCUGGCCUCAGGAUGGUGGAGCAGAGGAACCUCAGAGGCUGCUGGUCCCAACCACAUGCAACAGCAGGAAACAUCAACACUCUGAGCCCCGAAUUCUAUUGCAGACACUGGAACAGUACAUCCAACAAAUGUGUCUAGGAUACACCUCUGUGGGGUCAAACCCAACCAGGGCCCUAAGAAUAAAACUCCGUAUUGAACUCAUGUCACCAUAGCAAUCUUAGAAUUGUCCCCAGAAGCCAGAGACACAAACAGCGAGAUUCAGUGUGGAGGUUCAAAUAUCUGUAACAGGCUGGCCCAAACAGGAAGUCUUUGAACACAGUUGAGGAUAGAAGCAAGCAGUAAAUCCAGACACUGAGCCUCAACUCUGAAUUGAGAAACGGAAUACACACAGGUUGAACCCACAGGAACCAGGCUACAUAAUACUCCCUUUUUAGGUCGUUGGAAAUCCUAUUCAUGUAACUCGGACUCAUAUCCCAUCAAGGUCAUCGCAAAACCCCACAUCUAAGCCUGAGGUUUCUGAGGACACUACAGAGUCUUAAAGGAGAUAACCCCAUAAGGGCUUGAGAAGUUAAACCCACAGUUCACUUAAGGGGGCAAAUUGUCACCUUAGUGGGUCCACAUUUCUUAAGCUUGAUAAGAAUUGAGUAAAAAAAUAUAUAAGAGAAUCAAACAUGUAGUAGCUACAUAUUUGUGUUAAUAAAUAAUGGGUGCAUGUUUAGAAUUUUAACUAUCUGUA